UACGUAGGUGGCAAGCGUUACUCGGAAUCACUAGGCGUAAAGCGCAGGUAGGCGGUUUGGUAAGUCUUUUGUGAAAGCUCCCGGCUCAACUGGGAGAGGUCAAAGGAAACUACUAGGCUAGAGUGUGGUAGGGGAUACUGGAAUUCCUGGUGUAGCGGUGAAAUGCGUAGAUAUCAGGAGGAAUACCUAUGGCGAAAGCAGGUAUCUGGGCCAUCACUGACGCUGAGCUGCGAAAGCUAGGGGAGCAAACAGG
rnacentral:rRNA from 1 species